rnacentral:lncRNA from 1 species
CUCAUUGGAAAAACGUAGUAUAUAUUUAUUUGUUACCGUGUCCAUAAACAAUCCAUUCUUCUCACGAUAUUUCAAAAAUGCCUAGUAUUUGUUGUACUCUGGGCUGUAAGUUGCGUUAUCCUGGAAUGCCAAACAAGGACAACCUAGUUCUGCAUAGGCUAUUUCUAAAAGAUGGUUAUCUCCUACUUAAAUAGAUCCGAGUAUUACUGAGACGCAAUGAGGAACCCAAUUAAUAUUCAAGAUUGUGCAUUUUACGAAACAAAAUUACAAACUUGAGAGUAUCGAUUCCAACACAAAUAGAAAAAAAAAUCCCCACUUGGCGUUUUCUCAAAACUGGUUCCAUUCCUUCCAUUUUCCCAAAUAUUGCCACAGUUUUACUUUUUUUUUAAAAACCAGCAAUUCCUAGAAUUAAUGCUUCCAUUUUUGCAACUAGAUUUGAAAAGGAUUUAAGACGUCAAAUGAUGACAUAGUCUACUUCAAAGAAAACUCUGUGAAACUUUGCUUUCUUGCCUUCAGAAAUUAAUUGAAUAAAAGGAAAAGAUAAUUUGGUAAUUUGUUCUAUUACCGGUGAAGUUCCUUAAAUUCAAUAUUCUCUCAAGAUUUAUCAUUUGAUAUGCAUAUCAUGAUGAUGUACGCAUCAGUCAAAAUAAUUUUAGGCACAUUUGUUCAACAAAUUGAAUUAAAACUGUUUACCAAAUUGGAAACUUGCUGGCUUAUGCUAAAUCCCUGACAUCUCAGGGCUUUGUGAAAUCUAGAAUUGAACUAUGCAUCUCAACUUUAAGGACUGUUGACAGGGUUGAUGAGGAAAUUGAGAGGAAAGUUAUUUUUAUUUCGGAACAGCUUGAACUAUUGUCAAACCCCAAAAAUGGAAGACGAUACUCUAUGGAACUAUUAGCGAUGUGUAUGCCAUAGGAAAAUUGCAGCCCCCUCCCUUUACAACAAAAUUGUAUCUGAAGAUCGCUUAUGUCUCCCUAGUAUAUCGCAUCUUCGAAGAUAUUCUGGAAAAGUGAGCAUCGAUAUUGACAACAAUAUUCUACAAUUUGCUAUCUCAAGGCAAGGUUGACCCCUAUUCCUCCAGAAGAAAAGUGUACUCCUCCCAAAGAAUUGAAUUUGUUGGACGAAAAUUUUAUGGAGCAGAAGAUAAUUGUGUACCUACAAAAACAGUGCUGUGCUUUAUGGUGAAAAGUUUGACAUCCAAAUACAGGGAUAUUGUCGCAAUGAUUCCUACUGUUAAAAUCAUCUCUAAUAUAAUUUAAAAUGGGGCUAUGUCGGCUAUUAUAAUGCUAACUGAACUUGGCUUUGUUCAAUGUGGUUCAUUUUGUGAUGGCCAUUCAUCAAAUCGCAAGUUUUACACUCAUGAACUAUGUAAAAAGAAUUUACAGGCAUCAAUUGAAAAUACUUACGCACCACGAAGUCAAACUUUCUUGCUUUUUGAUACAGUAAACUUUUUUAAAAACAUAUACACAACUUUUCAAACAGAAAAACGUUUGUAUUUCCAUCAUUCAUUUUAAAAGACUGUCAAUACGAAGAAUGUAGUACUACCAGUAUAGAUCAUAUUUUUCAACGCAUAACAAGGAACUUGGCCUGCCCAUAAAGUUAAAACAAUAAUGUUCUGGCUCCUAAAUCAAUUGAAAAAGUUAAAGUGAAUUUAGCUGAGCGUUUUCUUAGUUUGUUAACAAUCUCUGGACUAUGUCAAUAUGAAGAAGAUUACCCAGAAUAGAAUUGCACUAAGAUAUUCUUAGAAGUUAUCAACAAUUGUUGGAGCGUAAAAUCGGUUAAAAAUCCAAAAUCUGUAAUUAUGGAAAGAGGAGAAGAAAGAAAACCUAUUUCAAUUAAUCAAAAACUGAACUUAGAGUCUUUGAAAGACUUUUAAAGAAGGUUAUUAUUGUGGCAAGCUUCACCAAUAUGUUAAAAGAAGGGUUUAACUAAAGGGAACGUUGUUAUUGCCAUUCAAGCAAAUACUGCCCCCAUUGAAAUUUGCGAAUAUCUUCAGGAAGUGAAAAAUCUAUUGUAGAUGUGUCAUGGGAUAUAACCUCAGAUCCCAUUGAACGUCUUUUUGGCCAAUAUAGGCAACUAUUUGGUGCUGAUUACUUUUUGUGUUGCUGUUAAUUUUUUGCAGCAGAAAAAAAAGGUUCAAUGUGUUUGUAAAAUUAUGCAGGAUAGACGUUUACGAUGCUUUCGUCAUUUUUAAAAAGAAGAAGAAUGUUUCGAAGAUGAAAUUGAUAAUAUUGAAUCUCAGCUAGAUUUCUUUAGUUUUUCAACCUCAAAUUUCUUAUUAGAUCAGGCUAAUUUAUUAUAUUUUUAUUUGGUUAUAUAGCCUCAUCAAUUAUAAAAGUACUCAAAAUAAACAACUGUGAUUGUACAAACUUUUUAAUCUCAGGAAAAAUCAAUAUGUUUUGAUGUUGAUUUUUUCUGGAGAAGAUACGACUUAAUAGAAAAUUUUCAAAAAUCUGUUGACAGAGGAGGCCUUAAUCCAACAUUGCUAUUUGUUAUAAUUUGUAGCUUUACAUGCCAAUCAUUCAUAUAAAUUAAUAUAUUCUUCGGACAUAUCCUGUCAAAUAUUGUUAAAAUCUAAGACGUUGUUUUAGUAAAUUGCUUAUUAAUUUGCUCCAGAAGGGAACUACAUGUAUUCCUUUUGAUUUAAAAUGUAAAAAAAAAAUCAUGUUUUGUCCAUUUUCUACACCAAGUAGCUUUCUAAUUCUUUAACUUUUGUGGUAAAAGCUAUAUCAAAGAACAAAGUAGUAUUAACCAUGUGGCCCGUAAAAAAAAAAUCUUCAUGUAAUCUAGCAAAUAGAAAAAUAGCAAGUUGGCUUCUCAAUCUUAAAUAUUUAUUAAGUUCUCUAUUAAAAAAAUCGUUCUUAUAAGAAACAUAUAUUUAAUCAUUGUCUUUUUCUAGAUAGUUCUCUUGCAUUUUUUGGAAAAGGAAAUUUAAAAAACUGUACAUUUCCAUGUUGUUGUUUUUUUUGUAUUUGGAAAGAGUCCGGCUCAUACAUCCGAGCACAGAGCAUCCACCCGAAAAAAAUGAAUGCAAGUUGAACAACAAC